UUCGAUGAUACGCGAGGGACCUUACCUGGGCUCGAAUGGCUAGUGCAACUGUGAGAAAUCACGGCUUCCUUCGGGACGCUAAUCAAGGUGCUGCAUGGUUGUCGUCAGCUCCUGCCGUGAGGUGUUGGGUUAAGUCCCGCAACGAGCGCAACCCCUGGGUUUAGUUACCAGCACGUAGUGGUGGGGACUCUAGACCGACUGCCGGCGUAAGCCGCGAGGAAGGUGGGGAUGACGUCAAAUCAUCAUGGCCUUUAUGUCCAGGGCUACACACGUGCUACAAUGGUCAGUACAGAGGAUAGCGAAGCCGCGAGGUGGAGCCAAUCUUUAAAAGCUGAUCGUAGUUCGGAUUGGAGUCUGCAACUCGACUCCAUGAAGUUGGAAUCGCUAGUAAUCGCGCAUCAGCCAUGGCGCGGUGAAUACGUUCCCGGACCUUGACACACCGCCCGUCAAGCCAUGGGAGCUGAGGGUACCUGAAGAUGGUACUUUACGGGAGCAAUCUAAGGAAAA
rnacentral:rRNA from 1 species